UUCGUUGCUGGAUUCAGGGAACAUAUGAUGCAAGAGGAUAUUUGACUGCAACGUAUUUGAACAAACUACAAAAAGUAAGAAUUACAUGAGGUCAUGUCUUUUGUGUCAACAGUGAAGGAUGUUCUACAAUACGUCUACUCGGAAGUAGAGGGAAGAAGAUGCUUUGUAUCUCAUUUUAAUUUAAAUCCAUGUGAUAGAUCAAGUUUUGCGUGAACUUUUUGGACAUGACUUGUUGGUCUUAG